GUUUCAGGGUUGGGUGAAAUUCCCUACCGGCGGUAACUGGCGGAGCAGCGGACGAGAUUUCCGUCGCAAGCGCGCCAGAAGCCCGCGACCCGCGCGAGCGGCUGACCCGGUGAGAGUCCGGGGCCGACGGUACAGUCCGGAUGGAAGAAA
rnacentral:ncRNA from 1 species